GUAGGUGGCAAGCGUUGUCCGGAAUUAUUGGGCGUAAAGCGCGCGCAGGCGGUUCGUUUAAGUCUGAUGUGAAAGCCCACGGGCUCAACCGUGGAGGGUCAUUGGAAACUGGAGAACUUGAGUACAGAAGAGGAAAGCGGAAUUCCACGUGUAGCGGUGAAAUGCGUAGGGAUGUGGAGGAACACCAGUGGCGAAGGCGGCUUUCUGGUCUGUAACUGACGCUGAGGCGCGAAAGCGUGGGGAGCAAACAGGAUUAGACACCCUGGUAGUCCACGCCGUAAACGAUGAGUGCUAAGUGUUAGGGGGGUUUCCGCCCCUUAGUGCUGCAGCUAACGCAUUAAGCACUCCGCCUGGGGAGUACGGCCGCAAAGGCUG
rnacentral:rRNA from 1 species